GACGAACGCUGGCGGCGUGCUUAACACAUGCAAGUCGAACGGGUCUGCCCUGUUUUUUGCGGGGUGGGUCAGUGGCGAACGGGUCAGUAACACGUGAGUAACCUGCCCCUCACUUCUGGAUAACCGCUUGAAAGGGUGGCUAAUACGGGGUGUUCUGGCUGUGCCGCAUGGUGUGGCUGGGAAAGAUUCACUUUUGUGGUGUUUUGGUGGGGGAUGGGCUCGCGGCCUAUCAGCUUGUUGGUGGGGUGAUGGCCUGCCAAGGCUUUGACGGGUAGCCGGCAUGAGAGGGUGGGCGGUCACACUGGGACUGAGAUACGGCCACGACUACUGCGGGAGGCAGCAGUGGGGGGUAUUGAACAAUGGGAGGAAGGCUGAUGCAGCGACGUCGCGUGAGGGAUGGAGGCCUUCGGGUUGUGAACCUCUUUCGCCGGUGAAGAAGGUCCUGCUCUUUGUGGUGGGGUUGACGGUAGCCGGGUUAUGAAGCGCCGGCUAACUACGUG
rnacentral:rRNA from 1 species